GAUGAACGCUAGCUACAGGCCUAACACAUGCAAGUCGAGGGGUAACAAGGGGAAAGCUUGCUUUCCUUGUUGACGACCGGCGCACGGGUGAGUAACGCGUAUCCAACCUGCCUAUAACUAGGGAAUAACCUUGCGAAAGUAAGACUAAUACCCUAUGAUUUCCUUUGAUGACAUCAGAUUAGGAAUAAAGAUUUAUCGGUUAGAUGGGGAUGUGUCUGAUUAGCUUGUUGGCGGGGUAACGGCCGACCAAGGCAACGAUCAGUAGGGGUUCUGAGAGGAAGGUCCCCCACAUUGGAACUGAGACACGGUCCAAACUCCUACGGGAGGCAGCAGUGAGGAAUAUUGGUCAAUGGGCGGAAGCCUGAACCAGCCAAGUAGCGUGCAGGAUGACGGCCCUAUGGGUUGUAAACUGCUUUUAUACAGGAAUAAAGUUAGCCACGUGUGGUUAUUUGUAGGUACUGUAUGAAUAAGGACCGGCUAAUUCCGUGCCAGCAGCCGCGGUAA
rnacentral:rRNA from 1 species